ensembl:snoRNA
GUGAGACAGUCUCAAAAAAAAAAAGGGAGUUCUCAGGGCUGCCAACCUUACAGUAGAUGUUGAGUGGUAGUAUAUUCUCCUACAUAA